GAAGUGCAAAAAUGCUUAAAUAAUUAGGAAAACCUAUUAAUGUACCCCUUACUUACAUGGAAAUUUUAAGUAUCUGGAGGAACAAGGAAGAAAUACUUCCAUUCCUAGCUGAUUUAAUAAUUUAAAUCUUAAGAACAUAUCUUAGAAUUACAUUUACAAAUCUUAGAACAUAAUCACAUGGCUUAUCUCAUCUCACCUAAAAAUACAUAAAAGAAACACUUCGUAUAAUCCAUCUGAUCCCAUCAUAUCUGACACACAACAAUUGCCUCUUUUGAGGUUCAUUAACCUACCGCACCACUCUUUAAUAUCCACGCCUCAUUUCCGAUAGACAAUUCCGGCCAGCCAGAACACAAAUAAUGAGAGAGCAAGUGGAAAUUCACACAAAUUCACACAAAGAGGAAAAGCCAGGAAGACAGAGGAAGAGCGGCCAAAGUCAAGUAGACAGCCAAGACAAACACCAAUUAAAUGCACAUAAUGAUAAUGUUGUGCCGAAAAGUCAUUCGGAGCAACUAAAUUACAACUUCCACUUUACAUUACAUGGCACGGCAGCGGAACCUCAACCUCCAGACCCGGACCCGGAACCCAACCCAACCAAUCCCAUACCAAUCGCAACCUAACCCAAUGAACUCUUGGAAAAACCUCGAACGGAACCGAAAAAUCCACACAAAAUUAAAAGUCUGCUGCAGUUGCAAAAGGAGAAACAGAUGGCUACUGCAACGUAAUGAAAACAAACCAGCACCAACGAAAAUCGCCCGAAUUUGUGUCUAAAGUGUUUGGACUCCGCACUUUUCACCCGUUCACCCCUGCCCCACACAAUCCCGCCAUACAAACCACUCCCAAACAACCAAAAAAAGACAAUCCUAGAGCUAAAGUUGGUUUACCGCUCGGCUGAGCGAAGAAGUUCAAUGCACAAGUUCAUGAACUUGGGGAAACCGACUUGAAAAGGUUUGCCUUCUGGUCCGCUGACAGAGCAGUUUAUAAUUAGAAAUCGUACCGAGUCCCAGCUCCAUCUCCAGCUCCAUCUCCAUCUUCAUCGCCAUCUAAAACUCUGGAGUAUCUCACCCAAAAGAAAAGUCAAGUGGAUUUUGGCGGCUGAAGUUGGAAAUGAACUGCAGUGCCGCAGAGAAAAGCGGGAGAUGAAGUCGGAGUCCUCUGCCAUCGGUUACGUAACGUGGGAUUUCUGUUUACCCAAAGACGGCGAUGAUGGCGACAAGUGCAUAUACAGCUCCUCGUAUAUUGACAGAAAACAAAAGCAAACAAUUUGUCGGUGUGCAGGUCGCUUAUGUAAAUAAAAGGC
ensembl:ncRNA lncRNA:CR45240 long non-coding RNA:CR45240